AUCCUUUUGCAGUUCAUGAGCGUGAUGAUUGGGUGAUCACACGUGUGUGUGACAUGUGCCACCCUUGAACCUUGUUACGACAUCGGCACAUUACCCGUCUGACC
ensembl:snoRNA